UCCGUCAACAAUUUGCUUGUGUAGACAGUAGAGGUCACAGUUUUCAUCCAAUCUUUAUGAAAUUUGGUCAGAAUGUUUAUCUUGAUGAAAUCUGGGUUGGGAUUGUAUUUGGGUGAUCUGGGGUCAAAAACUAGGUCACUAGGUAAAAAACUAGGUCAAAUAAUAGAAAAACCUUGUAUAGACAAUAGAGGUCGCAGUUUUCGUCCAAUCUUUAUGAAAUUUGGUCAGAAUCUUUAUCUUGAUGAAAUCUGGGUUGGGAUUGUAUUUGGGUCAUCUGGGGUCAAAAACUAGGUCACUAGAUCAAAAACUAGGUAAAAUAAUAGAAAAACCUUGUGUAGACAAUAGAGGUUGCAGUUUUUAUCCAUUGUUUAUGAAAUUUGGUCAGAUUGUUUAUCUUGAUGAUAUCUGGAUUGGGAUUGUAUUUGGGUCAUCUGAGGUCAAAAACUAGGUCAAUAGGUCAAAUAAUAUAAAAAUCAUCAACAAUUUGUUUGUGUAGACAGUAGAGGUCACAGUUUUUAUCCAAUCUUUAUGAAAUUUGGUCAGAAUGUUUAUCUUGAUAAAAACUGGGUUGGGAUUGUAUUUGGGUCAUCUGGGGUCAAAAACUAGGUCACUAGAUCAAAAACUAGGUCACUAGGUCAAAUAAUAGAAAAACCUUGUAUAGACAAUAGAGGUCACAAUUUUCAUCCAAUCUUUAUGAAAUUGGGUCUGAAUAUUUAUCUUGAUGAAAUCUGGGUAGGGAUUGUAUUUGGGUCAUCUUGGGUCAAAAACAAGGUCAUUAGGUCAAAUAAUAGAAAAACCUUGUGUAGACAAUAGAGGUCACAGUUUUCAUCCAAUCUUCAUGAAAUUUGGUCAGAAUGUUUGUCUUGAAGAAAUCUGGGUUGGGAUUGUAUUUGGGUCAUCUGGGGUCAAAAACUAGGUCACUAGGUCAAAUAAUAGAAAAACCUUGUGUAGGCAAUAGAGGUCACAGUUUUCAUCCAAUCUUUAUAAAAUUUGAUCAGAAUGUUUAUCUUGGUGAAAUCUGGGUUGGGAUUGUAUUUGGGUCACCUGGGG